AACGAACGCUGGCGGCAUGCCUAACACAUGCAAGUCGAACGAGACCUUCGGGUCUAGUGGCGCACGGGUGCGUAACGCGUGGGAACCUGCCCUUAGGUUCGGAAUAACUCCCCGAAAGGGGUGCUAAUACCGGAUAAUGUCUUCGGACCAAAGAUUUAUCGCCUUUGGUUGGGCCCGCGUUGGAUUAGCUAGUUGGUAGGGUAAAAGCCUACCAAGGCGACGAUCCAUAGCUGGUCUGAGAGGAUGAUCAGCCACACUGGGACUGAGACACGGCCCAGACUCCUACGGGGGGCAGCAGUGGUUAAUAUUGGACAAUGGGCGAAAGCCUGAUCCAGCAAUGCCGCGUGAGUGAUGAAGGCCUUAGGGUUGUAAAGCUCUUUUACCCGGGAUGAUAAUGACAGUACCGGGAGAAGAAGCUCCGGCUAACUCCGUG
rnacentral:rRNA from 1 species